rnacentral:lncRNA from 1 species
AUGCUAGAGAGGUUUUAUUCACGUGUCUUUCCAGAGAACCACAGAACAUACUCCGAUAGAUUUCAACAUCCGCAUUGCUAUCAAGCAUGUCUUGUGAGUAUUCUGUGUGAUGUAGCGGAAAGUGGGCACAAAGCACUUCCGCGGUGUGUCCAAGCACCGUGGUCAUCUCGAGGAAGAGCGCCUGUGCCGUUGAGUGACCACUUCUCAUCAGAAGAUUCUCUCAUCUCCAGAGGACCUGUAUACCUUGUCAGCUUUGGACUCCAUGGACCCAACCUUCCAGUCCACUGAACCUCCUUCCUGUGCCCUCAUGGCCCCAUUUAGGGACAGCUCUAUGACCUUGUUCAGCCAGAAGUAGUUACAGAAGGUUGGCCAUCGUCCAUAUCCCCAAAGGAUUUUGGGGCCAAAUGGGUUCAGGGGAGAUUUUAUGAUGAGGAUCAAGCCUGCCCCAGGGUGAGAAGGUCAAGGCAUCCUGCCCUACAGAUGGAUCUAUAUCAUCCUCCGGGAAGCAUAGAACCUCCUGAUCUGAUCUGACCUGACUCCUAUCCAAAGUUAUAGGAUCACCCAAUAACCAGACCCCGCCUGCACUGAUACCAUUUUGAUGGCUUUUUUUUUUUCUGCUUUAUUUCCCAAACUCCCCCGGUACAUAGUUGUAUAUCUUAGUUGCAGGUCCUUCUAGUUGUGGGAUGUGGGACGCCGCCUCAACGUGGCCUGACGUGCGGUGCCAUGUCCGCGCCCAGGAUCCGAUCCCUGGGCCGCUGCAGUGGAGCACGCAAACUUAACCACUCGGCCACGGAGCCGGCUGCCUUUUGAUGGCUUUUUUACAUGAUCUUUCCUUUGUCUUGUAAAGAAAUAACUCACAUACCUGUGCCUUAUAAAUUUAGCCCUACCCUCAACCCAUUGCAGCUCUUUACUGCCCAUGGGUCCUGUCCCCAUGCUACUCCAUGCUAUUCUCUGAAUAAAGGAGCACUACUACCAGAUCUUGAGAAUCCAGGAAAUCUUUCUUUCAACUCCUCAGCUCACAGAGCCUGCAUCAUUUUUCAUUAGAACAGCUUAGCUAUAAUGAGAUGAUUGCACUUCAU